GCAGCUUCACCAGGCUGUAAUAAGAAAGUGUUGCUGUUUCCCUCGUGGGCAAAGAAAGGAAAAACUGGAGAAAAACCAACUCCCCACUUAAGUUCCUUACCUCCAAGCAGCCGCCUUCCUGAUCAACUAUUCUAUCACGGAGAAGUCACCCACCAGCAGCUCCCGGUUAUUGGAAAGGUGGAUGGAACAGCAGAGAUCAUCCCACCCAUUCAUUUUCCUGAGGACACCAAGACCAGGAGCUCAGAACAGGCUCGGGUUGCACCGCCAGGGGACGCUGUGUACAAGGGGGCCCCGAUGAUGAGGCCCAGUUCUGCAGCCUCACUUCUCAGCCCUUCUGCCUCAAGAUGCUUGCCUCUCUUUCUGCAUUUUUUCCAAGUUAACACGCAAGACCAAAGAAAGGAAAAAUAAAGGUUAAAAAAAUAAAAAAUACGGCUUUCAUAUACUUAAAGCUCUGGUGAUUAUUACUCAGAACUUUGCAUCUGGAGAACCAAGGGCAGAAACUCGGUGCUAUUACAGCUGUGUCUUCACGUAGUUCAGUGUGGUGUGCAUGGCCUUAAGCCUAAUUGACCCCUCUGUCUUGGUAUUCAUUCUAUCUGACCAAAGAAUAUGUUCUUCCGUUUUCUAAGACUUUGAAACUCAGACCUCUGACUUCACAAUCAUGUUAGGUGAGCAAAGGACACUUACACAAAAGGACAAACGCGCAACACUACCGGAAAGAAUGGAGAGGAUUCUGCUUUAAUAUCUAGCUACCGUUUCCUAGUUGCAGUUAGCAGUAGGUAUCUAUGACGAUGGCUAUAGCUUAAGCUUUCACAAGCCUGUAGUCGCUGGAAACCCACACGGAAGAAAUCUCUGUAGUCUCAACUAAAAAGAAAAAGAAGAAAAAAGUCAAAAGAAAGAGAGAAAGAAAAGGGGAGGAGAGGAAGAAAAGAGGUCGGAGAAAAGGAACAGUCCAGGGCCCCAGCCUGGAAGCAGCAACAAGCCCUGGAUGCCUCACAUCAAAGGCCAAAUGGCAGCAAAGAAAAAGCAGCCUAAAGUUUAAAACUAUCCACGGUAAACUCUUUCCCUACAGGAGCAAACACAACGGAUCAACCCAUUCAAGCAAAGCCAGGUCCCUCCCCUGCCUUGCAUUUCCCAGGUACUGGCUAAGCCUCGGGCGGCUUCAAGGAAAGUUUAAAUUCCUUAGACUCAAGGGACGACAAAGUCACCAGUGAGAAGUGAGCUGAGCGCGGGGCGCUGGGA
rnacentral:lncRNA from 1 species